rnacentral:rRNA from 1 species
GAUGAACGCUGGCGGCGUGCCUAAUACAUGCAAGUCGAACGAACAGACGAGGAGCUUGCUCCUCUGACGGUAGCGGCGGACGGGUGGGUAAUACGUGGAGAGCCAACCUCUAAGACUUGGAUAAUAUCGGGAAGCCGGAGCUGAUAAUAGAGAAUAUAUUGAACCGGACGGUUCAAGGGUGAAAGACGGUUUUGGUGUCGCUUAUAGAUGGGUCCGCGCCACCUUAGCUAGUUGGUAAGGUAACGGCUUACCAAGGCGACGAUGCGUAGCCGACCUGAGAGGGUGAUCGGCCACACUGGAACUGAGACACGGUCCAGACUCCUACGGGAGGCAGCAGUAGGGAAUCUUCCGCAAUGGGCGAAAGCCUGAUGGAGCAACGCCGCGUGGGUGAUGAAGGUCUUCGGAUCGUAAAGCUCUUUUAUUGGGAAAGAACAAAUGCGUACGUAACUAUGCACGUGUUGACGGUACCUAAACAAAAAGCCCCGGCUAACUACGUG